GCCUGGGUGGAGAAACGGUAUACUCGCUACCUUGAGGUGGUAGUGCUCGCAAGGGCGUGGAGGUUCAAAUCCUCUCCCAGGCA
rnacentral:tRNA from 1 species